UACGUAGGGGGCGAGCGUUGUCCGGAUUCAUUGGGCGUAAAGAGCUCGUAGGCGGCUUGCUAAGUCAGGUGUGAAAUCUCCAGGCUCAACCUGGAGUCGCCACCUGAUACUGGUAUGGCUUGAGUCCGGUAGGGGAUCACGGAAUUCCUGGUGUAGCGGUGAAAUGCGCAGAUAUCAGGAGGAACACCGGUGGCGAAGGCGGAUCUCUGGGCCUUACCUGACGCUGAGGCGCGAAAGCUAGGGGGAGCGAACAGGA
rnacentral:rRNA from 1 species